rnacentral:tRNA from 1 species
UGGGCGCGUAGCUCAGUGGUAGAGCGCCGCCCUUACAAGGCGGAUGUCGGCGGUUCGAAACCGUCCGCGCCCACCAG